rnacentral:misc_RNA from 1 species
GAUGAAGAACGUAGCGAAAUGCGAUACUUGGUGUGAAUUGCAGAAUCCCGUGAACCAUCGAGUCUUUGAACGCAAGUUGCGCCCGAAGCCAUUAGGCCGAGGGCACGUCUGCCUGGGCGUCACACGUCGUUGCCCCCCCAUCUACUCCUUCGGGAUUGCGGGGGGCGGAUGAUGGCCUCUCGUGCGCCUCGUCGCGCGGUUGGCCUAAAUGCCAAGUCCUCGGCGACGCACGCCACGACAAUCGGUGGUUGCGAAACCUCGGUUGCCUGUCGUGUGCGGUCGUCGCGCAUCGAGGGCUCGAAAAAAUUGCCGGGCUUCGGCUCGACUUUCAACGCGACCCCAGGUCAGGCGGGGUUACCCGCUGAAUUUAAGCAUAUCAAUAAGCGGAGGA